UUAAUUCAUGCAUCUUAUUUAAUUUCUGUUUUUAUUUAUUUAUUUUUAUUUGAUGUUAAGAUUAAGGGGGAUUAGCUCUUUAUUUUAUUUUUAUAAUUUUUUGUUUGAUUUAGUUUUGUGGAUUUUAUAGUGAUUUUCAAUUUGAUUAUGUUAAAAUUUUAUUUAUCUUUUUGUUUCUUUUAGGGUUGUGAUUUAAGGUUUUAUUGGAAUGUUUGUUUUAGUUUGUGAUUGUAUGGUAAUUAUUGUGUAAUUAGUAAAUCUUGUUUAAUUGCGUUGUAUUAUGAGACGAUAAUUUUCUUUGAGGAAUUAGGCAAAAAUAUUGUGUCCGCCUGUUUAACAAAAACAUCUUUUCUUGUUAGUUUUUGAAGUAUGGCCUGCCCGCUGACUUUGAGUUGAAGGGCCGCGGUAUUUUGACCGUGCAAAGGUAGCAUAAUCAUUAGUUCUUUAAUUGUGAUCUGGUAUGAAUGGCUUGACGAGACAUGAGCUGUCUUAGGGGUAUUUGUUGUUGAAUUUAGUUUUUGAGUUAAAAUUCUUAAAUGUUUUUAUGGGACGAGAAGACCCUAUAGAGUUUGACAUAUUGCUUUGCCUGUAUUUUGUUGUUUGUUUUAAGGUUUGGUUGGGGUUGUAUGUUUUGUUGGGGUGAUGGGAGGUGUUUUCUUAACUCCUCUUUGUUUAUUAUAUAUUUAUUUAUAUUUGUUUGAUCCAUUUAUUUUGAUUAUAAGAUUAAAUUACC
rnacentral:rRNA from 1 species